GAAUGUUCAUAGAGUUAAUACCAAAGUUAUGUGGCUGACCUCAUUUACAUGUUUGCUAUUGAUAUGUUUUUUAUUUUAAGUUUUUUAUUGUGUCAAGUAUUGGUUUUAAAUUCCCAUAUUUUGAGAUUCAUUUUUUUUAAAUUUUUUGAACAAUCUUGUAUGGACGUACAUCCGACACCAAAGUUAUAGUGCUUGACAAGUUUUCAAACUCCGUAUUUUAAAUCUUUUUCAUUUAGGUUCAUUUAGUAGAUAAAAUAUUCAAUAUGGUCUAUUAAAAGAUAUAAUUGUUGACGGUAGAUAACCCUUAAAUUAAUCGUCAACAAAACUUGGAAAAGUGCAAUAAAGUUGACACCAACAUAGAAGUAGGGGUUCAACUGACAAAUUCUAUAAGUUUUGGUGAAUCUAUGUUUUGUACGGACUAAACAGGAAAAUACCCAAAGAGGACCCACAUGUCAGGUCUACAAACUGAUAUAAAGGCAACGUAUACAAAAGAAGAUUCUAGAGACUACGAGAAGACAACUCACCAGAGGUGGGCCCUAGCUGGUAGGGAGUCAGGGCAGUUGCCUAGGCCCUUAGGGCGCCUACCCUAUGGGUCCCACCUGUCGGAUUCCACUUUGUAGGUCGGUUUCCCACUGCCAUUGGUCUAAUAUCAAUCAUUGAUCAAGGUCGGUUUGAUCUGAGGGCUCCAGUUGAUCCUACCCCCCCCCCAAUAUAAAGAGAGCUAGACACCAAGGGCCAGGUAGAUCCUCAAUUCAUAAUUCAUAUUUUCAGUCAGUAUCAAGAGAGGAGUCCCAUAAAUGGAUGACCUCAUCUCUAAAGCUAGCUUUCAAGAGAGAUUAGUCUUGUAUCCUCUACAGAGAUUAGGGCUAGUCUUCUAGAUAUAGAGAGAUAGAGUAAGGGAGAAGUUGGAGGAAGUGCCAACCUGUCGGUGUCUCCUCUCCAUCUUGUACCUGCGAGAUCAAGCUCUUUGCGGGGCUUGCUUCUCAGAUUCUUUGGAAAUUCAACUUCUAAUACUAGUAAGUAUAUUGUUAUUAUUGUUCUUCGAUUUGUGACUCUUUUAAGUACUUUAAUCCUUUGUUGCUAUUGGGUUGAAGUAGUAAUUUGUUUGUAAGCGUGGUGCUUAGACGUGGUUGC
rnacentral:lncRNA from 1 species